rnacentral:rRNA from 1 species
AUGUUCACAUGAUUAAAGGUAUUCCGGUAGACGAUGGGGAUGCGUUCCAUUAGAUAGUAGGCGGGGUAACGGCCCACCUAGUCUUCGAUGGAUAGGGGUUCUGAGAGGAAGGUCCCCCACAUUGGAACUGAGACACGGUCCAAACUCCUACGGGAGGCAGCAGUGAGGAAUAUUGGUCAAUGGGCGCAGGCCUGAACCAGCCAAGUAGCGUGAAGGAUGACUGCCCUAUGGGUUGUAAACUUCUUUUAUAAAGGAAUAAAGUCGGGUAUGUAUACCCGUUUGCAUGUACUUUAUGAAUAAGGAUCGGCUAACUCCGUGCCAGCAGCCGCGGUAAUACGGAGGAUCCGAGCGUUAUCCGGAUUUAUUGGGUUUAAAGGGAGCGUAGAUGGAUGUUUAAGUCAGUUGUGAAAGUUUGCGGCUCAACCGUAAAAUUGCAGUUGAUACUGGAUAUCUUGAGUGCAGUUGAGGCAGGCGGAAUUCGUGGUGUAGCGGUGAAAUGCUUAGAUAUCACGAAGAACUCCGAUUGCGAAGGCAGCCUGCUAAGCUGCAACUGACAUUGAGGCUCGAAAGUGUGGGUAUCAAACAGGAUUAGAUACCCUGGUAGUCCACACGGUAAACGAUGAAUACUCGCUGUUUGCGAUAUACGGCAAGCGGCCAAGCGAAAGCGUUAAGUAUUCCACCUGGGGAGUACGCCGGCAACGGUGAAACUCAAAGGAAUUGACGGGGGCCCGCACAAGCGGAGGAACAUGUGGUUUAAUUCGAUGAUACGCGAGGAACCUUACCCGGGCUUAAAUUGCAGAUGAAUUACGGUGAAAGCCGUAAGCCGCAAGGCAUCUGUGAAGGUGCUGCAUGGUUGUCGUCAGCUCGUGCCGUGAGGUGUCGGCUUAAGUGCCAUAACGAGCGCAACCCUUGUUGUCAGUUACUAACAGGUUCCGCUGAGGACUCUGACAAGACUGCCAUCGUAAGAUGUGAGGAAGGUGGGGAUGACGUCAAAUCAGCACGGCCCUUACGUCCGGGGCUACACACGUGUUACAAUGGGGGGUACAGAGGGCCGCUACCACGCGAGUGGAUGCCAAUCCCAAAAACCUCUCUCAGUUCGGACUGGAGUCUGCAACCCGACUCCACGAAGCUGGAUUCGCUAGUAAUCGCGCAUCAGCCACGGCGCGGUGAAUACGUUCCCGGGCCUUGUACACACCGCCCGUCAAGCCAUGGGAGCCGGGGGUACCUGAAGUGCGUAACCGCGAGGAGCGCCCUAGGGUAAAACUGGUGACUGGGGCUAAGUCGUAACAAGGUAGCCGUACCGGAAGGUGCGGCUG